GCCAGCAUGGUGUAAAGAUUUGAAUGUUUGACUGUGACUCAGGAGAUCAAGGUUCGAUUCCCUGCUCAGGCA